ACUUCACCUAAACAGAAAAGGACUACAAGUUAGUAAAAAACACGGUUUUCUUGUUUAAGAAAUUAUAAAUGAUGUGGCAGAAGGCCUUAAACAAAGUGACUUCUCAGUACAAUUUGCCAUUGAAACUCACAGGUAAGAACCAAUAGUCAUCACUCCGAAAUCUGAUGUGUGCUUUUAUGAUUCGGCAAACAGGCUGAUCGCUGUCUGCUCUACGUCUGUGACCACAGCAAAAUGUAUAACUAUUGCACUGAUGCAAACUCUGUGGUAAUGUGUGCCAUAGUGGCUGUUUCAUUUUGCAUUUCACAGAUCAUGAAAGCAAGCUUCCCUAUGAAGUAAUCUCUGUCAUGCUCUUAUCUUAUCAGUAACAGCCCUCAGUGUUUUAUUGUUGUUUCCACGAACCAGUUCUCAGAAAAGUCACCGUGAAGAACUGUUCAUCAGAAAAACAAAAUAGAGAUAAACCCUUUAAUAACUGCUGUUAAGCAUCUGCUUUGAGGUUUUGUGAACAGACAAUGCCAUCCUUCACAUUAGUACAGUAACUAGGGGGGCAAAAUGAUGACCGUUCCUCUGCUUGUAUGGGUUUCUUUUUACUUCUGCAAUUUUUUAUUUGACCUACUUGAUGAUCUUUGUGCUGUUUAUGUCUGGGUCUAAUAUUGCAUCACCUCAUGCAGUCUGCCCAAGCAGAUUUGGCCAUUAAAUAAUACCAUCCACAUACAACAUAUAGUACAGAAAAUUAGCCUUUCAAUUCUAGUUUCAUUCAAUUCUUUAGGUUCUGGAAAAGUUUGUCUUUACCUCAUGGCAUCGACAUGAAAUACAACAAUUUUAUAUUCAGUCCAAACUAAUAUGAAACUGUUGGCAGGGUAGAGGAGAAAAGAACAUGCAGGCGGUUUUAACUUAUUUGACAUACCAGUUAUCAUAAACACUCAUCUGACAUGAAAUGAAUCCUUUUUAUACAUUUCAGUAAAUUAUGUGUUGUGACUGUGAAAAGCGUUACAAACAAAGGGACAAUUUAGUUGGUCA